UGGGGAAUAUUGGGCAAUGGGCGAAAGCCUGACCCAGCAACGCCGCGUGAGGGAAGAAGGUUUUCGGAUUGUAAACCUCUGUCCUAAGUGACGAAGGAAGUGACGGUAGCUUAGGAGGAAGCCCCGCUAACUACGUGCCAGCAGCCGCGGUAAUACGUAGGGGCGAGCGUUGUCCGGAAUGACUGGGCGUAAAGGGCGUGUAGGCGGUUUUUUAAGUCUGGAGUGAAAGUCCUGCUUUCAAGGUGGGAAUUGCUUUGGAUACUGGAGAACUUGAGUGCGGAAGAGGUAAGUGGAAUUCCCAGUGUAGCGGUGAAAUGCGUAGAGAUUGGGAGGAACACCAGUGGCGAAGGCGACUUACUGGGCCGUAACUGACGCUGAGGCGCGAAAGCGUGGGGAGCGAACAGGAUUAGAUACC
rnacentral:rRNA from 1 species